rnacentral:rRNA from 1 species
UGGUGGAGUGAUUUGUCUGGUUAAUUCCGUUAACGAACGAGACCUUAGCCUGCUAACUAGUCUCGUCGAUGUCGAUCGUCGUAGACUUCUUAGAGGGACUUUGUGAUCUAAACACAAGGAAGUUUGAGGCAAUAACA